rnacentral:rRNA from 1 species
AGUGAACGCUGGCGGCAGGCCUAACACAUGCAAGUCGAACGGCAGCACAGAGGAGCUUGCUCCUUGGGUGGCGAGUGGCGGACGGGUGAGGAAUGCAACGGAAUCUGCCCAAUCGUGGGGGAUAACCUCGGGAAACCGGGACUAAUACCGCAUACGACCUUCGGGUGAAAGCAGGGGAACGCAAGACCUUGCGCGAAUGGAUGAGCCGAUGCCGGAUUAGCUAGUUGGGGGGGUAAAGGCCCACCAAGGCGACGAUCCGUAGCUGGUCUGAGAGGAUGAUCAGCCACACUGGAACUGAGACACGGUCCAGACUCCUACGGGAGGCAGCAGUGGGGAAUAUUGGACAAUGGGCGCAAGCCUGAUCCAGCCAUGCCGCGUGGGUGAAGAAGGCCUUCGGGUUGUAAAGCCCUUUUGUUGGGAAAGAAAAGCAAUCGGUUAAUACCCGGUUGUUCUGACGGUACCCAAAGAAUAAGCACCGGCUAACUUCGUGCCAGCCGCCGCGGUAA